rnacentral:hammerhead_ribozyme from 1 species
AUCCAGUUGACGAGCCCCAAAUAAGACGAAGUGACGCACGUCCUGGAU